rnacentral:rRNA from 1 species
UACGUAGGGGGCUAGCGUUGUCCGGAAUCAUUGGGCGUAAAGAGCGUGUAGGCGGUCCGGUAAGUCCGUUGUGAAAGCCAGGGGCUCAACCCUUGAAUGCCGGCGGAUACUGUCGGGCUAGAGUCCGGAAGAGGCGAGUGGAAUUCCCGGUGUAGCGGUGAAAUGCGCAGAUAUCGGGAGGAACACCUAUGGCGAAGGCAGCUCGCUGGGACGUUACUGACGCUGAGACGCGAAAGCGUGGGGAGCAAACAGG